rnacentral:rRNA from 1 species
AUUGAACGCUGGCGGCAUGCCUUACACAUGCAAGUCGAACGGCAGCACGGGAGCAAUCCUGGUGGCGAGUGGCGAACGGGUGAGUAAAGUAUCGGAACGUGCCCAGUCGUGGGGGAUAACGUAGCGAAAGUUACGCUAAUACCGCAUACGAUCUAUGGAUGAAAGCGGGGGAUCGCAAGACCUCGCGCGAUUGGAGCGGCCGAUAUCAGAUUAGGUAGUUGGUGGGGUAAAGGCUCACCAAGCCGACGAUCUGUAGCUGGUCUGAGAGGACGGCCAGCCACACUGGGACUGAGACACGGCCCAGACUCCUACGGGAGGCAGCAGUGGGGAAUUGUGGACAAUGGGCGCAAGCCUGAUCCAGCCAUGCCGCGUGCAGGAUGAAGGCCUUCGGGUUGUAAACUGCUUUUGUACGGAACGAAAAGGUUUGACUUAAUACGUUGGACUCAUGACGGUACCGUAAGAAUAAGCACCGGCUAACUACGUGUCAGCCGCCGCCGUAA